rnacentral:lncRNA from 1 species
GCCCUGAGAUUAACUGGAAGUGUUAAUCAUCUAACCCCUCUGAAGGAAACAGGAAGCGUGCAUCA